AGCCGUGUGGUUGACACAAAGUGAAUAACUCUUUCUCCUUUUACUAAAUAAUACAGUGUGUUGGCCACCCACAACGACAUAUGCCAAUUUUUGGAGCCUUCCAUUUCUAAAAAAUGGAG
rfam:Picea glauca, whole genome shotgun sequence.